GACAGAGGGUGCGAACGUUGUUCGGAAUUACUGGGCGUAAAGCGCGUGUAGGCGGCAACGCAAGUCGGGCGUGAAAUCCCUCGGCUCAACUGAGGAACUGCCUUUGAAACUGUUUGGCUCGAGUCCGGGAGGGGGUAGCGGAAUUCCCAGUGUAGCGGUGAAAUGCGUAGAUAUUGGGAGGAACACCAGUGGCGAAGGCGGCUACCUGGACCGGAACUGACGCUGAUGCGCGGAAGCGUGGGGAGCAAACAGG
rnacentral:rRNA from 1 species